ensembl:lncRNA
UCCCGCAAAAGAACCGGAAUUUCCAUCACUGUCUCACAGCAGGUGUGUCAGAAAGCUCUCGGACUAAAUCUAAAAUAUCUUAUACUGUGUUCCGAAGAUGAACGGAGGUCUUACGGGUUUGGAACAACAUGAGGGUGAGUCAUUAAUGACAUAAUUUUAAUAUUUGGGUGAACUAUCCCUUUAACCAACGUUUGUCUCAUAUUUCAAGUGUUUAAUUAAACUUGUAGGGUCAUUUAAAGCAAAUAGUGUCAGUGUUCCCUCUGGACAUCACUUUUGGCCACUACUGUAUUUCUGUAUGCUUUAUGAUUACUGUGAAAGUGUAUUUUGAAGGCAGAUUAAAUUAAUAUUAGAGAUCGACCGAUAUGGGUUUUUCUAUUGCCGAUGCCGAUGUUUAGAGGUCAGGGUCAGCCGAUGGCCGAUUUUUAGGGCCGAUAUCUUGAAGUUUUCCCCCUCAUUUGCAUGCUAAAAUUUCACACUUAUAAUAAGUGGAUGCACAACAUUUCUAAACUUAUCAUCAUUUGGAAAUCAUGCAUACUAUGCUGAAUUCAGUGUAUUAAAAAGUGUGUUACACUUCCUACUGUAAUAGUGACAUAAAAUGAACAAAGUGAGAGAUUUCAAACAUUAACUGCUUUUAAUUUUUUUUUUUAGGCCAUUACAUUUUGUAAUUUCUCUGUACCAGUGUACAUGAAAAUGAUAAACUCUAUCUUUUUGCUUCCUUUCUCAUAGUAGAGGAAGAUAAACAGCUUGAGGAGGGAGCAGUAAAAGGAAACGGUGAUGAGAAGAAACAAGACGAAGACAAACAAAAUGAAAAUCUUCUGAAAAAAGAAGACAGUUAAACUCUGAAUUAACCUGAGACUGUA